GAAAAGGGGUAGCGCGGGGGCAGGUGAGGAGCGGCACCCGCGGGGCUAGCCCUCGGUGGCGCGAGCAGGGGCAGCAACAGGCGGCAGUGGAGCUGGAGACGAAGGAGGAGCUGGUGCUGGAGCUCAUCUUCUGGCGGAGUUACAUCUCUAGCUGCGGCGAGGAGGUGCAGCCGGUAGUGGAGGCAGGCGAUGCCAGCGGCAGCAAAAGGUACCGAGGCCGUGGCGGGACGUCGAUGAUUCGGCAGCUUCCCGGUGGAACACGGGGCGCUGCUACCUCGGGUCCUCGGUCUGCGGUGACAGCUACUGCUGAUGAUGAUGAGCCCUCCACGGAUGAUGAUGUACGUCGGGCGACUGCCGCUGGUCCUCAUCAAAUCCUCCUAGGGUCCAUCCUCCGGACGCGGAGAAAGCUAGACAUAGGGACAAACACGAUCGGAAGAAUUCCGUUUGAACAAAUUGAAUACAGACAUGAGUCUAUAACAACGAAGGCGACUGAACAGAUACUAGCUCGAGAACAUAAGCUCGGGAGCUCCGGGG
rnacentral:rRNA from 1 species